GUCAUUAGAGGAAGUAAAAGUCGUAACAAGGUCUCCGUUGGUGAACCAGCGGAGGGAUCAUUA
rnacentral:rRNA from 1 species